rnacentral:tRNA from 1 species
ACCUGGCUGGCUUAGUCAGUGGAGCAUGCAACUCUUGAUCUCGGGGUUGUGGGUUCAAACCCCACAUCAGGUA